rnacentral:rRNA from 1 species
UGCAAGUCGCGUGCGCAGUCUGUAGCAAUACAGGCCGGCGCACGGCGCACGGGUGCGUAACACGUGGGCAAUCUGCCCUCUGAUGGGGAAUAACCCCGCGAAAGCGGGGCUAAUUCCGCAUAAAAUUCCGAGGACCUUGGUUCUUGGAUUCAAAGCAGUAAUGCGUCAGAGGAGGAGCCCGCGCCCGAUUAGCUAGUUGGCGAGGUAACGGCUCACCAAGGCAAUGAUCGGUAGCUGGUCUGAGAGGAUGAUCAGCCACACUGGAACUGAGACACGGUCCAGACUCCUACGGGAGGCAGCAGUGGGGAAUCUUGCACAAUGGGCGAAAGCCUGAUGCAGCGACGCCGCGUGGGGGAUGAAGCUUUUCGGAGUGUAAACCCCUUUCGACUGGGACGAAAACCCGCAAGGGAUUGACGGUACCAGUAUAAGAAGCCCCGGCUAACUACGUGCCAGCAGCCGCGGUAAGACGUAGGGGGCCAGCGUUGUUCGGAAUUACUGGGUGUAAAGGGUUCGUAGGCGGUGCGGCAAGUUGGGAGUGAAAUCUCUGGGCUUAACCCAGAGGCUGCUUCCAAAACUGCUGUGCUUGAGUGUGAGAGAGGCUCGUGGAAUUGCAGGUGUAGCGGUGAAAUGCGUAGAUAUCUGCAGGAACACCCGUGGCGAAAGCGGCGAGCUGGAUCACUACUGACGCUGAGGAACGAAAGCUAGGGGAGCAAACAGGAUUAGAUACCCUGGUAGUCCUAGCCCUAAACGAUCAGGACUUGGGGUGCCGCCCGUUCG